rnacentral:rRNA from 1 species
GACGAACGCUGGCGGCGUGCUUAACACAUGCAAGUCGAACGGAAAGGCCCUGCUUGCAGGGUACUCGAGUGGCGAACGGGUGAGUAACACGUGGGUGAUCUGCCCUGCACUUCGGGAUAAGCCUGGGAAACUGGGUCUAAUACCGGAUAGGAGCCAUUUUUAGUGUGAUGGUUGGAAAGUUUUUUCGGUGUAGGAUGAGCUCGCGGCCUAUCAGCUUGUUGGUGGGGUAAUGGCCUACCAAGGCGGCGACGGGUAGCCGGCCUGAGAGGGUGGGCGGCCACAUUGGGACUGAGAUACGGCCCAGACUCCUACGGGAGGCAGCAGUGGGGAAUAUUGCACAAUGGGCGCAAGCCUGAUGCAGCGACGCCGCGUGGGGGAUGACGGCCUUCGGGUUGUAAACUCCUUUCGCUAGGGACGAAGCUUUUGUGACGGUACCUAGAUAAGAAGCACCGGCUAACUACGUG